rnacentral:rRNA from 1 species
UAACGAAUAAUCCGCAAUGGGCGAAAGCCUGACGGUGCGACGCCGCGUGCAGGAGGAAGUCCUUCGGGAUGUAAACUGCUUUUAGGAAGAUGCAAACAAAGCGGGCUAAUACCCCGUGAGUUGAGCUAUUCCAGAAAAAGCCUCGGCUAACUCUGUGCCAGCAGCCGCGGUAAUACAGAGGAGGCAAGCGUUGUUCGGAAUCACUGGGCUUAAAGGGCGCGUAGGCGGCGCGGUAAGUGUUCUGUGAAAUCCCACGGCUCACCCGUGGAACUGCAGGGCAUACUGCCGUGCUUGAGGCAGGUAGGGGCCACUGGAACUCUAGGUGGAACGGUGAAAUGUGUAGAUAUCUAGAGGAACGCCCGCGGCGAAAGCGGGUGGCUGGGCCUGUCCUGACGCUGAUGCGCGAAAGCGUGGGGAGCAAACGGGAUUAGAUACCCCCGUAGUCC